GACGAACGCUGGCGGCGUGCUUAACACAUGCAAGUCGAACGGAAAGGCCCUGCUUGCAGGGUACUCGAGUGGCGAACGGGUGAGUAACACGUGGGUGAUCUGCCCUGCACUUCGGGAUAAGCCUGGGAAACUGGGUCUAAUACCGGAUAGGAGCCAUUUUUAGUGUGAUGGUUGGAAAGUUUUUUCGGUGUAGGAUGAGCUCGCGGCCUAUCAGCUUGUUGGUGGGGUAAUGGCCUACCAAGGCGGCGACGGGUAGCCGGCCUGAGAGGGUGGACGGCCACAUUGGGACUGAGAUAUGGCCCAGACUCCGACGGGAGGAAGCAGUGGGGAAUAUUGCACAAUGGGCGCAAGCCUGAUGCAGCGACGCCGCGGGGGGGAUGACGGCCUUCGGGUUGUAAACUCCUUUCGCUAGGGACGAAGCUUUUUGUGACGGUACCUAGAGAAGAAGCACCGGCUAACUACGUG
rnacentral:rRNA from 1 species